UCCAGGCCGCCCCGGUUCACCGCACCCUCUGGGGUGGGGUGGGGGGUCCUAAAAGCACAAAAGGCAACGGCGGGAGAGAUUAAACCCGGAUGCAACGGAGCCCCAGCUCUGGCCUAGUGGACGGCCCAGGGCGUGGACCGGGAGGAAAUAGUAACCUAAGAAAGUUAAAGGAAGACGGAACAAACAAGAAGGACGCUAGGAGAUCAAAGAAGAGGAAUGAGACAGCGUUAGACCAAUAAAUUGUUCCCCGAGUGACACGAAGCAAGGUGCAAAGAGGGAGACCCCGGCCCGCCGCUGCCGCCGUCUGUCUGGACUCGGGUGGCCGGAGCGGCCGAUGGCGAUGGCGUUUAAAGUGGAACCUGCCCUGAGUGAGGCGACCCGACAGACCGAUUUCAGGGAGCGAUUUCGAGGAGCGCGGGAAGGAACUCGGUCUGGGCCAAAAACGCUGAGAGUCCGCGCCACAGCCCGUCCCUGCCGGGUUUUGUCUCCCGCAGGUCGGAGGGAUCCAAGCAGGACGCGCUGCCCCUCCACCUGGGCCGGGGAGGAUCCAGAUACGGCUCGCAAGGCCUCGGCCUCUCUGGACCCGAGUGCCCCGGGCGCCGAAAGCUCUCUUUCGUUUCUGAGUUUCUCUCUCUCCUCCUGCCUUCUGUAGCAGGGUUUUAAAACGAGAAGGCCAAAGUCAGGCUUUCAGUAAGGCCUCUUUAAUCGCGUGUUCUUAAGCCAUUGCUUUCCUACUUAUUUGGUUGAAAAGACACCAAUGCACUAGGUUAUAUAUGAUAUCAUUUACAGAAAUACUCGUUGACGCUUAGCCUGGAGCCGGCACAUUGAGGCGGGGUUCUCAUCUGCCCAGCUGUCUUUAAAGACAACGUUCACUGCUUUCCUGGGUCUGGUUUCCUACCUACCAAGCAUAAUGUGUUUCCCCUGCUUCAUGGUACCAACUAGUGCUCAAAAUGUAAAUCCAGCUAGGAAUGUAAACCCAGGUCUCAGGGCAGCGGAGGAAGGCGGCCAGGAGUCCGGCGGCUGGCGGCUUGCUUCUCUCAACGUGUCCGCCGGUGCCCCUCGCACGACCUGCGCGUCGGUUCUCCAUCCGUGAGCAGUCUUUGGUCGGGGUGCCGGGACAAACCAUCAACAACGAGUUCAAAGGAGCUCGGGCUGGCUCAGGGUGUUGUCUGGGCGGCGUGCGGGGAAGCGGGUCCUAGGCUGCCGCGCAGAGAGAACCGCCUCCCGGCCGCCCGCAGGCCAAGGGCAAGCGAGGCCCCGCCUGGCGGCCCGUGAAGCCUCUGAGAUCCCGGCCGGCCUGUACCUACCUGAGGCCUCCGCGACCUGCGGAGAGAAGCAGUAGCCACCGAUCUGCUCCUUUGCCAUUUAUUCGUAGUUACAUAAACCGAGCUUUCUAUCUGCCGCUUGGAUACGUGGCUACGGACGGCUCUCAGGAAGCUAUAAAGCCCUUCUGACAAUCAGAAGCUGUGAAAUAUUGUGUACUAUGUAAGGAAAUAUAACGAAGGUGUAUGUCUGUAAUACCAACGUGUUUAUAUAAACAGAAAAAAGGAGGAGAGAGAGAGAGAGAGAGAGAGAGAGAGAGAGAGAGAGAGAGAGAUGUCAGCCAAAAUCCAGUCCCCAGUUUUACAGCGUGUACAGCAUGGAGAUGCAGGUUGUAAACAUUUUGUGGGCUUGGCAGAGACUAUUACGACCCAAAUAAAUGCCUCGCGUGGAGUGUUCACGGGGCUCCGCGGU